rnacentral:rRNA from 1 species
CGGCGGACGGGUGAGUAACACGUGGAUAACCUACCUAUAAGGCUGGGAUAACUUCGGGAAACCGGAGCUAAUACCGGAUAAUAUAUUGAACCGCAUGGUUCAAUAGUGAAAGACGGUUUUGCUGUCACUUAUAGAUGGAUCCGCGCCGCAUUAGCUAGUUGGUAAGGUAACGGCUUACCAAGGCAACGAUGCGUAGCCGACCUGAGAGGGUGAUCGGCCACACUGGAACUGAGACACGGUCCAG